CACAAGCCUGGCAAGUGGGUCGAGACAGCGGGUAGGCAUUUUCCAAUUCGGUAUUGCGUCCAUGUUCAAAAAUUUCUCCUUCCAUCAUCCUCAACGAUGCUCUCACAUUUCUACGCAAAAGCCGACACGAAACCCUUUACGAUCUUAUUUAAUGCUGAAGACAUUUUUCCACCGAGCAAAAAAAAUAGUAUAAAUCCAAACUGCAGUUACCAUACAUCUUCCAUAUCUCCACUUCCCGUUCUCCAGCUGAAGGCAGACAACACGUUCGACGACGCGGCCUUCAAAGCAACCACAUUGCAGAACAAAUGCAGCGCUGACGCGAAGUUCAAAGCCGCCUACCCAACGUGCAAGAAGUCCACCAUGAAAUAUUUGAACUUUAGCCGACUAUUCGUCUGUCUCUCGACUGCUAUAUUAACCGGGUGAUGUCACGGAAUAACAUGGACGGUUGAUGUCACGGAAGAAGAUUGAAAUGAGCCAGAAGAAGACGAACUGAGCAUCAGAAAACUUUUCUUCUUCCUUAACCCAUUCAUUUCCGCUUAGAUGGAUUGCUGAGCAGGAAAUUGUAAUUGUUGCAAUUUCGAAUUUCGGGAUUUCUUCGGUUAUGUUUGUGGCUGUGUUUUAAUAUUUGUUUUUGCGGAUUUUUUAGAAUCGAGUUUCAAUCUCCCCCAUGAAAUAUUCAGGAAAAGGACGGUAGGAUGCAUUUACUAUAUAUCCUAUUAAUGACCAUUUAUCCGUGUGCAUUCAUUAUUCACGAGUUAUGCUGCCACGCGCAGUUUUUGGGUUAUAAUGUAAUCUAUUAUGUAACAAUACAAUAAAUGAUUUGAAUGUU